UCACCAGGUGAAGCACUGUAACACUGUAUCAGUUGUUGCAGAGCAGCAGCCCUCCAAUUAGAGCACGCGCAUUUCAUGACGUGAACGCGCCCGUGGUCCAAAUACUUGAGACAGUUGGAAAGCAGAUAGAGAGACAAGCGGAGAGAGAAACACUUGACUGGAGGUAUAUCGGUCCAGCGGAGGAGUACGGCCAUCGAGACCACGCUCCAGAUACGACAGCGUCUGUCCGUGAGAAGGUGCUGGACAGGAGCAGGACGUAAGUGCUGACGGAUUGGUGCAGAAGGGCGCAGCAGGGGGGCAGAGAGGUGAGCGCAUGAGGAGAGGGCGUCCCAAGACCCCCGUCUCCACACUUCGCGCUCGCACACACACAUUCGCGGACACACCGCACCUAGCAACCCUCCAGCCACCAUGGUAAAAACCCCUCAUCUUCUAUUUGUGUGGCUGGUUAAGCAUCAUGGUUUUGUUUGCAUAAGGUUAAUGUCUAAAUUGUGAAAUCUCCCUUACAUGUGUUUCUGUCCAAACCGCUCUAAUCUAAAACCAGCUGA
ensembl:lncRNA